CACACCCGAGUUUAGGAAGGUAAUAUUAUUAAAAUACGCGCCCAAAGCAACUAACGUAUUUGAAGCUAUGCGAGGGCCAUGGAGAUUCAACUAAAUGGCACGCCUCGAAUUCUAAGGAUAAACAAAAUUAAUUAAACGAGGGUCAUACAUACUCCUAGCGAUUAAAGUGAUAAAACAAAGAAGAACUAAAUAAAACAUGUUGAACCGAGUUUUACUUUUAAUUAAUAUUCAACAAUCCAUGACUCCUUAUUAUUAUGUUUCAAGAUCGGAUCUCCCAUGGCCAAACAACCAUUUAAGAUACAUAACAAUCAACCAAGAUCAAUCAUUCAACAUGUAAAAGCAUUUAAAAGAAGCUAUCAACUAAACAAAAUGAGUGGUCUUAAACAUGAGAACAAUCUUUGAUCUUUGAUUAACACCAUCCAUGGUAAAAAUCUGAUUCCAAUUUAAAUAUCAUUGGCCACCACCCACUUGAAAAAUUGGCAGUACCCUAUGCCCUUUUUAACAAAACUAAAGUUUCAUUCCAUUCCAGCAUAGGAGCCAUGGUCUAAUAUUUCAGCGAGAAUGCAAAUCCAGAUGAUUAAAACCAACAAAAAACUAUGAUGAACUAUAAAUUUCGGUCAAGUCACAACUAGAAAAUAUCAAGAUAAUCAUGGUAAAAAUAUCACCACAUAAGAAAUAAUAAAGAUAUCAGAAUGGACUUUUAUAGCUGCAAUGUGUUUUUGAAACAACGGGUAGAAAAAGAAAACUCCAAGCCAAAACUUUGAUUGACGAGCUCAACAGUCCGGACCUCGACGACCUUGAGCGGAAACUCAAAGUCUAACCUCGAGCACCAGCAGGGCUCGAAUCAGAAUCGACGUCGAACAAUCUCGAUCGACGACGAACUCGAAAACGGACAAAAGGGGUUCAAGGGGUCUUCAGCUGGUUUUUAUGGUGAGGAAGAUGACUGGAGUUCAGCCGGAUCUAGGUGGUCGCUGAUGGCGGUAGUUUUGUUUCAUCGAAGAAGAAGAAGAAACAGCCAUGGGGAGUUCUAUCGUUUUGGCUGAGGAAGGAGAUCGAGUUCGCUGGGGGAGGGUCUUGUAUGAAAAUCAGCGCCUAUCUUACGUCCUCGUGAAGAAGGCGAAGACGAGGGGGUGGGGUCGACGACGAGUCUUCUCCGGUGAGCUUGAAGUGGCCUGAUGCGAUCGCCGGUCUUGAAGAAGAAGUAGAUGAGCAGUGGAUCUCUUGUCUCUCGUUCAAGAAGAAGAAGCUCGAUGGGUGAGGGAUCUAUAUUUUUUGUUUCUUAAUCCUCAUGCUAUGCGCAGCUUUUUGCCCCUUUUCUUUUUGGUAGAUCUGAUCUCCUUCUCUCCUUUUAGGUGUUAGUACUAUUAUAUAGUAGUAGGGAUUAGGUUAGGGGUAUGAGCCUAGGAGUUAUGGGCUAGAAAAUUGGGCCAAAAACUGAAAAAAUGGACUACAAGAUUCAUAAUGACGGGAUAAACCAACCCAAAACUAAUUCCUCCUUCUAAAAUUAUAUACAAUUAUAAUAUAAAAAUAUAAAACUAAUUUUUAUUAAUUAAACUAAACUAUAUUAAAAAUGAAACUAUUUUGUAUUUUCAAGAUUAUAUAUAAAAUAAAAAUAAGCUACUAUUUUUGUAUAUUUUUAUUUAAAUUCAUGAAAGGUGCGUAAACUAAAAUAUUUUUUGUAAGUUUCAUUUCUUGUGAUAAAAUAAGGUAAAAGAGUAAAAAUGAGUUGAAAUAGCAAUAUUAGGCCUAAAUUAAAUAUUUACGUGCUAAAAUAUAAAAUAUUUUGGGGUGGGUCAAAAAUCACAUGUCUACAGCUGCCCCUCUUUGACUGGAAACGCGUAGAGUUUUCUGACAAAGACUGACUCGACAAGUUUUUGACCCGACCCUUAUUUAAGGAGACCAAAACUAAGAGAAAAGGGGAAUGUGACCGAGCCCUAGUAUCUGAGUUGUCUACAUAUCCUUGGCUAUAAAUAAAUCAGGCCACGUGUAGUUCAGAGCUAAGUAAGAUGAUGGAGUAUACCGAGGUGGAGAACCGAUCGAGGUGCCAUUCCGUCGAGGUUCCGGUCUGCGGUCCUAUUAUUACAUCAAAAUCAAAAAAUGAAAAAGACUAACUAAACCUGUCAACUAUGAGUUACAAAAUUCCUAUCUAUAAGUCUUCUGAAGCUUGAACUUGAGUCUUGAAUGGUUCUUCAUGGAGACUUUAGAUUUGAACCUUGGUGCUUGCUAGUUACAGGUGCUAGUUCAUUCUUCUUCAGCUUUUCAGAUCAAGACCGGACACACCAUGCUUGUGACAUCUUGUCUCAGCUUCUGCAUUUUGGAUUCACUUCUUUUUUUCUUUUUAUUUUUGUUUCUUUCUUUUUUUUCUUUUCUAUUUUGGAUUGAAAUUACUUCUGUUGAUCAUCUCGGACUGUUGACUUGCAUUCUUGCCGCGAGCUUCUGCCACUUCUAACUUGAGCUAUUUUCCUUUGAGACUUGAAGUGAUUUCCCUUGAAAUUCAAAUUGUUUUCCCUUGUUCUCCGGGUGGACGCCUAAUUGCUGAAACUUGAAUGUAUUCCCUUGUUCCCAGGUGAGCUCCCGAUUGCUGAAGUUUGAAUGUAUUUCCUUGUUCUCCAGGUGGGCGCCUGAUUGCUGAACUUGAAAAUGUAAUCCCUCGUUCUCCAGGUGGGCGCAUGAUUGCUGAACUUGAAAUGUAUUCUCUUGUUCUCCAGGUGGGCGCCUGAUUGCUGAAUCUUGAAAUGUAUUCCCUUGUUCUCCAGGUGGGUGCCU
rnacentral:lncRNA from 1 species